GCCUCAGUCCUUCGCCGUCCCUCGCCGUCCUUCGCCAUCGCACGCCACCGCACCCCAUCUCUCGAAAUCUGCAGACAUCUUGAUUUUUCCCACGCUGUCUGUCAGGUCUCCGCCGCCACUCGACGCCAGGGCGCCGGGCCUUGUGGGCUGUGCUGCACCUCGGACGGCUUCGCACCAGCCAGCGCCCUCUCUCUCCUGCAGCACUCUGAUCUGCACCCCCUGAGGGGCUUCCACUGUCCGCGGGGUGAGAAUGCCCCUGGGUAAUGUCACAUGACUGCCGCCCCAUGUGUGUGAGAGGCGUCCUCUGGGAGAGCAUGGAUCCUGAGGUCCCAGGAUUGUCAGCUGACCUCUGUCCUGUGUGCCCAGUGGCCCCAGGUGACGUGUCUUCAAGAAGAGGCUGAGCUGCGGUGCUUGUAAGGUCUCAGCCUUAGAUCCAAGGACAGUCCAAGGAAGUCCUAAGACCAUGGAGUUGGUGAUCUGGGAUCUGGGUUUGCUGAUAUUUCUCACCAAUCUCUUGGUGGUGUUUGUGGGCACGAGAGGGGCAGAGAAUGGAGAGUGAGGCUACCACAUGAAGCGUCACCAGAGCUGCUCCCUGCUGCCUGCUCAGAGCACCCCGGAUCCACUGUUCAAUCUGCACAAGAUUCGGGGUCCAGACAUGGGAGACUUCAGCUGCCUCAGAGGACCGUGGACAGGGAAGGCCAGCCUCGCAUCCCUCUGUCCAUGCCUGGAAUGACUUUAAUAACCAAGAGUUUUAUUUUUGAAUUUGUAGCUGUCGUUCACUUUUUACCCACCCAUUCAAUAAACCUUACAGAAUUGCUC
rnacentral:lncRNA from 1 species